rnacentral:tRNA from 1 species
GGAGGCGUACAGGAGUCUGGUGGCCCUCCCGGUCUUCAAAACCGGUGUGACCGAGGAUCUCGGUCAGGUGGGUUCGAUUCCCAUCCGCCUCCGCCA